rnacentral:tRNA from 1 species
AAUAGUUCAGCUGGUAGAACUUCAGACUUUUAAUCUGAGGGUCCAGGGUUCAAGUCCCUGUU